CUGGGAAGGAGAAGGAUGCCGAGAUCGGUGGGUGUCGCAUCGUGGUCGCCUCGCCCCUUCUCGGUGGGAGUGCUGAGACGGCUGCUCUUGAGGAGAAGACGGAAGUUGAUGCGGACGUCGGCGGCUGCUUCUGGACGGCAUAGGGUGCACCGUCGGUUGCUCCGCCGGAGGUUGCAGCAACUGAGUUAGUUGUUGUUGGAG
rnacentral:lncRNA from 1 species